rnacentral:lncRNA from 1 species
UCCUCUUCUUCCCAGUGGGAAGUAAACAAGUGGGCCUCAUGGGCUAGCACUCUUCACAGAGGCUUUUUAGCUGUAUUGUCUGCUUGACUUCCAAAUAUGGCUUCAUCCCUUCAUUACCACUGUUUUUUAACUGUUUUUGGAUUUUCCUAACCUCCGUGUUCUGUGGUCUCAAGACCAGGCGGACCCCUCUAUGCCCAGUUCCAGUUCCUACACUCCCAGAGGGGAGGGGCAUUCAAACAAGAAACAUUAACUAGUCGGUUAAUCAAACAACUUAACACGUAGUCAGGUUAGGCUGGGCAGCAUAGAAUGGCAUAAGGAUAUGGGAAAUGCGAAGACUGUUCUAGAAAUGACAUGUGUGAUGGAUUGAAACUAGGUGAAAUUGUUAAGAUUGGCACUAAGAGGCCCUUUCAACAAUGUAGAUUCUACAGCAGGGUUCCCCACGCUACCAAAUCAUAAGCAUCACCUGGGGUGCUUUUGAAGGUAUAGAUUCCUGGGCUGUAGUCAGACCUACAGAAUUGGAGUCUAGAAGGGGAGAGCCUGGAAUCUCUGGCUUUAACAAGUCUCUCGUGUUUGGGAAACAUUUCCAGUUUGGUUGAGAAGCAAUUUGGACAUUUUUCUGUAGCCUGUCUGAAUUGACAGCCUCCAGCUGUGUUGCUAAGCAGUCUGUGGAUGGUCAUGAAGCUAUCUAUAAAAGAGAGCAAUUCACCCAGGUAGAUCUACUCUCCAAAGCCAACUUGGUAAUUGAGAAGCUGCUCUUUGGAUUCGGAAUGGAGGAAAUCAUUGGUCACAUGGGACUGCUAAAUUCUAGUGGUGUGUUGAGAAGGGGACCAGCUGGAGAGUCAACUGCACUCCAAGUUCUCCUCUCUGCUCACCAACGUCAGUCUAUGGGGCCUCAGGAAAGCCUUUGACUUUCUGGGCCUCAGUUUCCCUAUCUGUCAAAGGCAGGCAGUGGACUAGACAAUCUCUAAAGACCCCUCCUUCUGUAAAUGUUCUCUGUUACUGUUGUAUCCUCAUUCCAAAGAGUGAGAGAUUCAUCAAUCCAUUACAAAUUGAAUUGGGUUGUUAAAAGUUCUUCAAUCUUAUUUUGGUUUCAGAAAUAUGUAACACUGUAUUGUUUUGGUAAUAUUUUCUUCCUCUCAGGGCAGAUAUAGUAUAUGAUGAAAAUGAAAAGAAGCCUGUGAAUAGAAGUGAGAAGAAUUGGGACAGUGAAUCAGGUGGCAGAAUAUCUGGAAGCUUCUUGCAGACACAGAUGGUUGAUGUAAACUGUGUGGCAGGGAAUUUCUGCCAGACAUCCCAUGGAGUUUAUUACUAAAUGUGGGAUCAGUAAACUUUUAAAAACAUACUGUGCAUGUAAAAUCAUUUAAAAUACUGCAAGUGCAAAAUCCUUUAGUUUCAGCAAUAUCUGAUUCUUCCCUUCUGCUUUAUAAAUAAUUCAGAUUAAAAUCUCAGUUUUGGUGUUGAGCAAUUUUAUUAUCUUUUAUAAAAUUUUAUCUUUUAUAAAAUUGUUGAGUGACUCAUUAGGAAAAGUUGAAGUUCUGAUUGUGUGGUGGCCCCUGCUUCCAAGAUAUGUUUCAUUUGACUCCAUAUUUUUUUUUUUUCUGAAAAGGCAGAAAUCCUAUAAAGGACAAUUAAGAAGUAUAAAAUUAAAGUGAAACGCUGGAAUGAAAUGAAAGGAUAUUAUGCCACAGUGUGUGGUCUGAGUAAAAAGCAUUAAAGUUGAGCCAGCUGCUAAACUCAGCGCUAAAGUGUACCAGUUAAUUUUAUAAUCUAGGAAACGAU